rnacentral:lncRNA from 1 species
GAGGUUCAAGUAUAUACAAAAAUGUCUACUACAACACUCGCUCCAGCGAGUACCCAGACAACAAUCAUAUGUACAUAAAUAUCCUAAACUUACCUGUGAAAGGUACUCCUCUAGCCCUGCAACUCGUCUGGACGGAAUCUAGCUCGCAACUCCCUUUCCACGAUCAAUAUCAGGAAGAGCAGCAGCCACAGAAGAUGACUCUGCAAAAAAGGGUCAACAACUGGGUGUGAGAACUACUGCAAAAAAAAGUAGUCUUCAGUGGGUACCGCUACUGACCUCAA